rnacentral:rRNA from 1 species
UUCGGGAGAAGGCACGCUGACACGUAGGUGAAGUGAUUUACUCAUGGAGCUGAAGUCAGUCGAAGAUACCAGCUGGCUGCAACUGUUUAUUAAAAACACAGCACUGUGCAAACACGAAAGUGGACGUAUACGGUGUGACGCCUGCCCGGUGCCGGAAGGUUAAUUGAUGGGGUCAGCGCAAGCGAAGCUCCUGAUCGAAGCCCCGGUAAACGGCGGCCGUAACUAUAACGGUCCUAAGGUAGCGAAAUUCCUUGUCGGGUAAGUUCCGACCUGCACGAAUGGCGUAAUGAUGGCCAGGCUGUCUCCACCCGAGACUCAGUGAAAUUGAACUCGCUGUGAAGAUGCAGUGUACCCGCGGCAAGACGGAAAGACCCCGUGAACCUUUACUAUAGCUUGACACUGAACAUUGAGCCUUGAUGUGUAGGAUAGGUGGGAGGCUUUGAAGUGUGGACGCCAGUCUGCAUGGAGCCGACCUUGAAAUACCACCCUUUAAUGUUUGAUGUUCUAACGUGGACCCGUAAUCCGGGUUGCGGACAGUGUCUGGUGGGUAGUUUGACUGGGGCGGUCUCCUCCUAAAGAGUAACGGAGGAGCACGAAGGUUGGCUAAUCCUGGUCGGACAUCAGGAGGUUAGUGCAAUGGCAUAAGCCAGCUUGACUGCGAGCGUGACGGCGCGAGCAGGUGCGAAAGCAGGUCAUAGUGAUCCGGUGGUUCUGAAUGGAAGGGCCAUCGCUCAACGGAUAAAAGGUACUCCGGGGAUAACAGGCUGAUACCGCCCAAGAGUUCAUAUCGACGGCGGUGUUUGGCACCUCGAUGUCGGCUCAUCACAUCCUGGGGCUGAAGUAGGUCCCAAGGGUAUGGCUGUUCGCCAUUUAAAGUGGUACGCGAGCUGGGUUUAGAACGUCGUGAGACAGUUCGGUCCCUAUCUGCCGUGGGCGCUGGAGAACUGAGGGGGGCUGCUCCUAGUACGAGAGGACCGGAGUGGACGCAUCACUGGUGUUCGGGUUGUCAUGCCAAUGGCACUGCCCGGUAGCUAAAUGCGGAAGAGAUAAGUGCUGAAAGCAUCUAAGCACGAAACUUGCCCCGAGAUGAGUUCUCCCUGAGACUUAGAGUCUCCUGAAGGAACGUUGAAGACGACGACGUUGAUAGGCCGGGUGUGUAAGCGCAGCGAUGCGUUGAGCUAACCGGUACUAAUGAACCGUGAGGCUUAACCUU